rfam:Gossypium arboreum cultivar AKA8401 contig_15124_1, whole genome shotgun sequence.
UUUUCAAAAUUUCAUUUAUUUGUACUGUUAAAAACUAGCGUACUUGAUGGAAUAACCAAACUAUGACAUGUGGUGUGCCACGUAUACAUCAUGUUGGCGUAAAGGGACUGAUUUGUAAUAGUAGAAAUGGAUAGAAUUCUUAACA